rnacentral:misc_RNA from 1 species
GCAAAAUAAGUGGGUAUUAUAUGAACUUAUAAAUCUUAGAGCAAUACAACAUUGCUGCAUUUGUUUGUAUAUAUGACAAUAACAGCACUCCAAAUAAAAGGUAUCAAAACUGCAGGUUAACUAACUCUUAGUAGUUCAGACAAUUGCAUUAGCUGCACUAGCAAUCCUUGGCCAUAGAUCAGCACACUCCUUUCCAAUUGGACCAGUGAUAGCAGAACCUUUCAUUUCUCCUUUGGGAUUCACAAUCACUCCAGCAUUAUCUUCAAAGUACAUGAAAACACCAUCCUUUCGUCUCCAAGGUUUACGUUGUCUAACAAUGACAGCAGGCAUCACUUUCUUCCUCAAAUCAGGUUUACCUUUCUUUACAGUAGCCAUUACCAUAUCACCUACACAAGCAGAUGGUAACCGAUUCAACCUACCCUUUAUACCCUUUACUGAAAUGAUGUAAAGGUUCUUCGCUCCAGUGUUAUCAGCACAGUUCACCGUCGCCGCCACCGGUAAACCCAGUGACAUCCGGAAUUUGUUUCCGGCAGAACCUCCACGCCCUCGCUUCGACAUUUUUGGAUCCUGAAA